UUUUUUUUUUGUUUUGGUUUUCCCCGAAGGGUAAGGCAAAGGGAACUAUGCCCAUACAGCCAUGUCUGACGUAUUUUUUUCUUGAUGAUUAAUGAAAUGAUGAAAGGUGAUGAUGAUGAAACCUAAGCCCCCACCCUCGGAGUAGACUCCUACUCCGAACCCCAAACGAAUUAACUCAAAAGUCCGCAUAAACUUUUGAGUUAUGAAGCGGCUUCCUGACACGAAGCGAAAAUAGGCAGAUACACUUUGUUUAUUGAAUACUCCAAUAUAAUAACACUCGCGAAUGUCUUCCGACUAACUUAAUGCGAUCAUUAACCACAAAACACCACUUCGUAUUAAUUAUUUAGAUUAUUCAAUGAAGAAAGCAACUGUCCCGUUCCCGCC
rnacentral:lncRNA from 1 species